rnacentral:lncRNA from 1 species
UGCAGGGGGUGGAGGAGGCUGUCCUUAAACCAGGAACGAAAUGGGCCCUGUCUGUUCCAGGGGGAGGAACUGGAAGGGAAGGAGGAAAUCCAUUCAGCACGUUGGAUCAGUUCCUCCCUGCCUCCAACAGCUCUGAAGUUCACUAAAGGGCUAGAGCAGGGCUUGGCAAACUGCAGCCCGUGGCCCAAGUCCUGCCGGCUGCCUGUUUUUGUCAAUAAAGUUUUAUUGGGACAGAGCCACACCCAUCAUUUCCAUGUGGUCCCCAGAUGCUUGUGCGCUACAGCAGCAGCCCUGAGUAACUGACACAGGGAGCGUGUGGCCCACAAAGUCUAAAGUAUUUGCUGUCUAGCUCUUUACAGAAAAAGCUUGCCAACCCUGCCCUAGUGAGGGGGUGGCAGAAGCCCUAAGGACUGGGGGGCAUUCAGGAAGCCCCCGUCACAACCUCCCACCCCAGCAGACCCCAGAUCCAGGCUCAGACACGAGGAGCACGUUGGGCUCAGUGGUGGUGGCAUAGAGGUGACUGGCCAAAGAGAGCCGCUGAAAUCCCGGUCUCCACCGAGAGCCCAGCUGCAUCGCUUCAGCUGACGGCCAGUGGGAGUUCUCUGUGCCUCACAACUUGCAGUCUCAGUUCUUCCCUCUCUUGAUACUGGUCUGUUUCUUCUCACCCCACCCCACCCCCACUUGUUUCUGCGAGAACAAAGAAUGCCUUUUGCAUUCUAGAAAACAGAUGCAAAGCUAUGCUUUGGAGGGCUGAGUAAAUUUUCUAAACCUGUAAGACACCAGGACCAUUUUGGAGGGCAAGUGCGACCUGAAGCUAGACUAAAGCUGGUGACUCUUGGAAAGGGAUCGGAAGCAUCAGGGAAUAUGUGCCAGCCUUCCAGAAGCGUUUGUGCUCAAAGGGGUUUUUCCAGUCAUGGGCCACUGACAGGAGAUAGAAAGGCACCAGGUGACCUCCCUCUGGACAUCCCUUUAUGCUGCACAGGGGCUGUUUCUCUGUAGCUCCCAGCAGGGCUGGAAGUGCUUCGUGGGGUCGGCUGUGACUAAGCCAGGCGCCGGGCUGGGCACUGCAGGGGCUUGGACGGGGCCGAGGACAGGAUCAGGGAGCACCCAGGACCAGCAGGGCAUGACGCGAUGGGACGUGUGAGACCACCUGGCCCCUCAGCUCCCCAUCGCACUCCUGUGGCAAGAG